GACGAACGCUGGCGGCGUGCUUAACACAUGCAAGUCGAGCGGUAAGGCCUUUCGGGGUACACGAGCGGCGAACGGGUGAGUAACACGUGGGUGACCUGCCCUCCACUUCGGGAUAAGCCUGGGAAACUGGGUCUAAUACGGGAUGGGACCAUUCCAUGCAUGUGGGGUGGUGGAAAGUCGGUGCUGUUGUGGUGCUGGCGGUGGGAGUGGGCC
rnacentral:rRNA from 1 species